AAAUCACAGCUGUGGUAUCUUCAACAAAAGAACUACAGGAAAGCUGUAGUUAGGUCAUAUUGCCUUGCUGCUGUAGAUGAAACAAAUGAUAACAGCAUUACUGCCUAAUGAUUUUGUAGCAUGUUUUAUUCACUAAAAACAAUUGUAACGAUUAAUAGAGUCAUAAUAUUGUAUGCCAAAUGCAUUUCCUCUUGCUCUGAGUGGUUGACUUAGCUAAGAAGCAUGGCAGAGUUGACCAACUCCAGCUGAAUCAACUUGAAGGUAAAUGCAGAGGCAGGUGAUGGAAUUGGCUGGUUGGGGAAUGGGGUAGAGCUAAGUGGAUUUUGGAAGCUUCUUAGGGAAAAGGAAGUUUUUAGAAUGAAUGGUGUGGAGGAGCUAAGGUUAGUGUGCUUCCCUUCAGAAGGGAAGGAAGAUAUGCUUUGGGCUAUGUACGGUUCAGAAAGAAAAGGAGUUCAUCAGCAUGUCUUUCAGAAGAGUAACAGGGAAAUGCAAUAGAAAUACAGAUGAUUUCAUCUUAUGUUCAAAGUUACCACACCAUAAGAUGGUUAUGCAGAGACAUCAAGAGUUCCUUACAUGCUUCAUGAAAACAUGCUGCCGAAUAGGCACAAGGCAAGCCCCCUGGUAAUGGAAAAGCUGCAGCAUGAGUUCUACCUAUUAUUAGACAUCAGAAAAUCUGUGUGAGGGAACAGAAGGACUGAAAACCGUUGUAGAAACAAGAGCUACAGGAAAGCAAGCUUCAAAAGCUUCACUGCUCAAAGAACUUGUUGGGAGCUACUAUACUAAGCUCUGUAUGCUCUCUCCUAACCUGUGUGGAGCCUCCUGAUAAUUAAACUGUCAACAUUUCCAUGAUGAAAAGCUGCACUGAAAAUCAAUGAUCAGUUGACAUUGCUGCAUACAGGGAAGAGAGAAGCCUUGGAAAGGUCUAAAGAACCAGCUGUGAGUGCCUUGUGCCACCUUGCUGGGAAAAGAGCUGUAGGACUGAACCACCAUGCUUCAGUCCUCAGCCUUUAAUCUUACGCCUGGCUACAGGUGAAAUCAAGGAUGUAUCUCUAAAACUGCAUGCCUUGUCUAAAACUUACUGGAGUUGUUUUGCAUGUUCUCAUACCAAGAUCACUGACUGAGUAAUACUGAGCGAGAAGCCACAGGGAAGCUCAUCACAGAAAGAUCUGUCAGUCCAAGCAGUGUGCAAUGGCCUCUUGUGUCAGAGUUCAAGUACCUCUUACUUUCCUAUGUAUUUUUCCUCCCAGUGCUUCCCUAAGCAUAGAAUACUCCUCACAUUGCCUUACAGAUGAGGAAAGCGAGAUGCAGGGAGAAUAAAUGAUGAGAACAAAGAUACAUGCUUUGGCAGAGGAUGAAAUGAGAUAGGAAUUUGCAGCAACAGACUGGCAGCAGCUCUGAAUGCCAUGCUGUCAGAGGGGGCAGCUUUGGGCUCUACUGGGGUGUAAAGCUCUUUCUCCUGGUCUCUACCCUUCCUUCCUCCUCAAAUCAGUUCCAUUUACACUAUCUGGUUGCACUCCAUUGUAUCAUAUGCCCCAGAAC